UACGUAGGGGCCGAGCGUUGUCCGGAGUUACUGGGCGUAAAGCGUGCGCAGGCGGCUUUGCAAGUCGAGUGUGAAAUCCCCAGGCUUAACCUGGGAACUGCAUUCGAGACUGCAUGGCUAGAGUAUGGGAGAGGGAAGUGGAAUUUCAGGUGUAGCGGUGAAAUGCGUAGAUAUCUGAAGGAACAUCAGUGGCGAAAGCGACUUCCUGGACCAAUACUGACGCUCAUGUGCGAAAGCGUGGGGAGCAAACAGG
rnacentral:rRNA from 1 species